rnacentral:rRNA from 1 species
UGCGAUGGCUCAUUAUAUAAGUUAUCGUUUAUUUGAUAGUACCUUACUACUUGGAUAACCGUGGUAAUUCUAGAGCUAAUACAUGCUAAAAACCCCGACUUCGGGAGGGGUGUAUUUAUUAGAUUAAAAACCAAUGCCCUCCGGGGCUCUCUGGUGAUUCAUGAUAACUUCUCGAAUCGCACGGCCUUGCGCCGGCGAUGGUUCAUUCAAAUUUCUUCCCUAUCAACUUUCGAUGUUUGGAUCUGGGCCAAACAUGGUUGCAACGGGUAACGGGGAAU